rnacentral:pre_miRNA from 1 species
AGUCAUUGGUCGCAGGUGCAGCAUUAUCAAGAUUCACAUGCAUUAUAUACAUAGAAUUAAAUUAAAUUAACUUUAAACCUACUACUAUGCUAUGGUAGUGAGAAUCUUGAUGAUGCUGCAUCAGCGGUAUAUGACU